GCCUUGAUAGCUCAGUUGGGAGAGCACCAGACUGAAGAUCUGGGGGUCGCUGGUUCAAUCCCGGCUCAAGGCA
rfam:Thermoplasmatales archaeon B_DKE contig-32, whole genome shotgun sequence.